rnacentral:rRNA from 1 species
UGAACGCUAGCGGGAGGCUUAACACAUGCAAGUCGAACGGUAACAGGCCCUUCGGGGCGCUGACGAGUGGCGCACGGGUGCGUAACGCGUAUGCAACCUACCUUAUGCAGAGGGAUAGCCCAUGGAAACGUGGAUUAAUACCUCAUAGUAUCAUUAUUCUGCAUGGAAUUAUGAUUAAAACUUCGGUGGCAUAAGAUGGGCAUGCGUAGGAUUAGCUAGUUGGUGAGGUAAUGGCUCACCAAGGCUACGAUCCUUAGGGGUCCUGAGAGGGUUAUCCCCCACACUGGUACUGAGACACGGACCAGACUCCUACGGGAGGCAGCAGUGAGGAAUAUUGGUCAAUGGGCGCGAGCCUGAACCAGCCAUCCCGCGUGCAGGAUGACGGCCCUAUGGGUUGUAAACUGCUUUUCCACGCCAAGAAAUCUCCCGACGUGUCGGGAGCUGACGGUAGCGUGGGAAUAAGCAUCGGCUAACUCC